rnacentral:lncRNA from 1 species
GGGCAUCUUCUUUCUCCUUCAUUUUUGUUUCUUUAUAUUCUACAUAUAAUUGUCUGGCAUCCUGGAAUAGCUGAGGCAAAGCUUUCACAGUGAGACAGAACCAUAUUCCCAGCUUGCAUGGAAGUAAGUCAUGCCACUGUGGUUUGUCCAGUGCUCUUUCAUUUUUUUCAGGAGCAGCAAGUUUUGCUUCAUCCGUACUUCUGCCUCCCGUUUUUUUCUUCUUCUCC